rnacentral:lncRNA from 1 species
CUGGUCUUGAACUCCUGACUGCAAUGAUCCACCCACCUCCGCCUCUCCCUGUAGCAGGACAAGCUGCAGACAAAAACCCCUCAGACACUGAGUUAAAGAAGGAAGGGCUUUAUUCAGCCGGGAGCUUCAGCAAGACUCACAACUCCAAACAACUGAGCUCCCCGAAUCCAGGAGAUAAUCAAUCAACUAAGAGCCAGGCACCUUUUUAAGUCCAGUAAGAAGAAACAUUUUUACAACCUGCUGUCUCUGAAGUCUGCUAUCUGAGAUUCCUCUCCACAAUAAAACUUGGUCUCCACAAUCCUUUAUCUUAACCUGAACAUUUUCUUUCUAUUGAUCCGAGGUCUUCAGAUAUACUCAACCAACUGUCAACCGGAAAAUGUGUAAAUUUGCCUAUAGCCCGGAAGCCGCCACUUUGAGUUGUUCUGCCUUUCGGACAAAUCCAUGUAUUUCUUAAAUGUAUUUCAUUGAUGUCUCAUGUCUCCCUAAAAUAUAUAAAACCAAGCUGUAACCCGACCACCUUGGCCUGAUCACAGGACCUCCCGAGGGCUGUGUCACAGGCCAUGGUCACUCAUAUUUGGCUCAGAAUAAAUCUCUUAAAAUAUUUUACAGAGUUUGACUCUUCGUCAACAGAGCCAAAAGAGGAAGGCAGGUUUGUGUGACCCCGUUCCCAGCUUAACUUUUCUGUUUGGCUUAAUGAGUUUUGGGUCCCAAGAUUUAAUUUCCUUUCACAGGUGCACAUGAAUAAGGCAAGUUCUUAGAGAUUUAUGAAGAGACUUAGAUUCUGAUACAAUAGUGGGAGACUACAACACCCCACAGACACUAUUAGACACAUUAUUGAGGCAGCAAAUUAAAAAAGAACUAAACUCAAUACUUAACCAAAUAGCCCUACUAGAAAUCUACAGAACUCUCCAUCUAAAAACAACAUAAUAUAUAUUCUUCUCAGCACCAUGUGGCACAUACUCUAAAAUUGACCACGCAAUCCAAAAUAAAACAAUCCUCAGCAAUUUCAAACAUCCCAAAAUUAUACCAACCACAUACUCAGACCACAGAUUGAUUAAAAUAUAAUUCAAUACAAGGAAAACCACUUGAAACCAUACAAGUACAUGGAAAUUAAACAACCUGUACCUGAAUAACUUUUGGGUAUAUA